UACCGGCGCCACUAGUAGGGACCAUGGUUAUUGGGCCUAAAGCGUUCGUAGCAGGUUCUGUAAAUCUCCUGUGAAAUCGUCGGGCUUAACCUGACGGCGGGCAGGAGAGACUGCAGGACUAGAGACCGGGAGGGGUCAGGGGUAUUCCUUGGGGAGCGGUAAAAUGCUAUAAUCCUUGGAAGACCACCUGUGGCGAAGGCGCCUGACCAGAACGGGUCUGACUGUGAGGGACGAAAGCCAGGGGA
rnacentral:rRNA from 1 species